rfam:Stegodyphus mimosarum contig119247, whole genome shotgun sequence.
UUGAUCAUACUUCAUAGGAUCAUUUCUAUAGUAUGAUUAGCGAGUUCACUCACCGUCGUUUGAUCACAAUGCGAGAAACAUACAUACAUUUAUGCA